GACGAACGCUGGCGGCGUGCUUAACACAUGCAAGUCGAACGGAAAGGCCCCCACUUUUUUGGUGGGGGUGCUCGAGUGGCGAACGGGUGAGUAACACGUGGGUGAUCUACCCUGUACUUCGGGAUAAGCUUGGGAAACUGGGUCUAAUACCGGAUAGGACCAUGGUUUAGUGUCUCAUGGUGGAAAAAUUAUUGUUUUGGUGCAGGAUGAGCUCGCGGCCUAUCAGCUUGUUGGUGGGGUAAUGGCCUACCAAGGCGUCGACGGGUAGCCGGCCUGAGAGGGUGGACGGCCACAUUGGGACUGAGAUACGGCCCAGACUCCUACGGGAGGCAGCAGUGGGGAAUAUUGCACAAUGGGCGCAAGCCUGAUGCAGCGACGCCGCGUGGGGGAUGACGGCCUUCGGGUUGUAAACUCCUUUCGUUAGGGACGAAGCCGCACCUUUUUUGGGUGUGGUGACGGUACCUUUGUGAAGAAGCACCGGCUAACUACGUG
rnacentral:rRNA from 1 species